GAGUAGGCCAGCAGGCAGCAAGGAAGGAAGGAAGGAGGCAGGCAGAAUUCUUUGCAGACCCUCUGCCCAGGCCAGCCAGCCCAGCCUUUGCCAGAAAUGGAGGUGGGACUUACCUCCGGGUCCAAGGGAGAGGAAAAUAGAGACUGCAAGAAGCCAGACCUGAACCACAGAAGGCUGCUGGAUCACCAAGAAGAACCUGCCCCCCAUUGGAUGGCCGUUUGACAUGGAGAGAGAGGGAGAGGGAGAGAGACUGAGACUAACCUCUCCUCAGUGGUCAGUCUAUCAGCCCUGGUGUGCCAAAGCCAAUCUGUUUUGGGCUGGCCUUUCUUUCAGCCCUUGUGUUUGGAGAUAUAAGCAGGAGACCAAGAGAGACUCAUCAGUGAAGCCACCAAGGAUUUCCAUCCCCAGCAACUGUGUUCCUAGCUCUAUGAAUCUGAGUGAUGUCAUAGCCUAUUGGCUGUAAGGAUAACUUUGGCCCCACUUACUCCAGGCUGGUUUGGUGAAGUCACAUCUCUCUCCCACAUUGUUCCCUCUCCUUGUGAAAUGCAGCCAGCCCUGUAUGUUCCUCCCUUGUUAAGAUGGCCUAGAAAGACUGUAACCUGUAAGUGUUCCUGAAAAUUAGCCCUCUAGAUCUUGAAGCUAAUUUGCAAUUGUUUUAGUUUCUUAUAUGUCUGGUCUUUUCUUCUAUUCCUGAUCCCUAUUCCUAAGCUUGAUUUUCUGGUGCACCACCGUUUUAAACUGCCACACUGAGCUACCCACUUUUUCAACAGGACAGCCUGAACAGUUAGGCUGUGGGGAAUUU